UAAUACGGAGGGUGCAAGCGUUAAUCGGAAUUACUGGGCGUAAAGCGCACGCAGGCGGUUUGUUAAGUCAGAUGUGAAAUCCCCGGGCUCAACCUGGGAACUGCAUUUGAAACUGGCAAGCUAGAGUCUCGUAGAGGGGGGUAGAAUUCCAGGUGUAGCGGUGAAAUGCGUAGAGAUCUGGAGGAAUACCGGUGGCGAAGGCGGCCCCCUGGACGAAGACUGACGCUCAGGUGCGAAAGCGUGGGGAGCAAACAGGAUUAGAUACCCUGGUAGUCCACGCUGUAAACGAUGUCGAUUUGGAGGUUGUGCCCUUGAGGCGUGGCUUCCGGAGCUAACGCGUUAAAUCGACCGCCUGGGGAGUACGGCCGCAAAGUU
rnacentral:rRNA from 1 species